UGUCCUCCAUCUGCUGGGGGCAGAUGAAGUGGAUGUGGCUGUCCAUGCCUCCGGCCGUCAGGAUGCGUCCCUCGCCCGCGAUCACCUCGGUGCCGGGGCCGACGACGAUGUCGACGCCGGGCUGGGUGUCGGGGUUGCCGGCCUUGCCGAUGGCGUGGAUCAGCCCGUCCUUCAGCGCCACGUCGGCCUUGUAGAUGCCGGAGUGGUCGACGAUCAGCGCGUUGGUGAUGACGGUGUCGACGGCGCCCCCGGCGCGGGUGACCUGCGAUUGCCCCAUGCCGUCGCGGAUCA
rnacentral:sRNA from 1 species